rnacentral:tRNA from 1 species
ACCUGGGUGGCUCAGUCAGUUGAGCAUCUGACUUCGGCUCAGGCCAUGAUCGCGCAGCUCGUGAGUUCGAGCCCCACAUCAGGCU